rnacentral:rRNA from 1 species
CAGCCGCCGCGGGAAUACGGAGGGUGCAAGCGUUAAUCGGAAUUACUGGGCGUAAAGCGCACGCAGGCGGUCUGACAAGUCAGAUGUGAAAUCCCCGGGCUUAACCUGGGAACUGCAUUUGAAACUGUCAGGCUGGAGUCUUGUAGAGGGGGGUGGAAUUCCAGGUGUAGCGGUGAAAUGCGUAGAGAUCUGGAGGAAUACCGGUGGCGAAGGCGGCCCCCUGGACAAAGACUGACGCUCAGGUGCGAAAGCGUGGGGAGCAAACAGGAUUAGAUACCCGAGUAGUCCCUGUCUCUUAUAC